CCCGACUUCGGAAGGGAUGUAUUUUAUUMAGAUUWWWAWCCAAUGCCCUCUGGGUACCUUGGUGAUUCAUGAUAACUUCUCGAAUCGCACGGMCUUGUGCCGGCVAUGGUUCAUUCAAAUUUMUUCCCUAUCAACUUUCGAUGUUUGGGUAGUGGCCAAACAUGGUUGCAACGGGUAACGGAGGGUUAGGGCUCGACCCCGGAGAAGGAGCCUGAGAAACGGCUACUACAUCCAAGGAAGGCAGCAGGCGCGCAAAAWACCCAAACCCSAAWCSGGGAGGWAG
rnacentral:rRNA from 1 species